GUUUUGGGACCAUUCAAAAUAACACAGCUACUAAAA
rnacentral:other from 1 species